CCAAUGAUAUGCCGAUGAAUUCAAAAAGGAGACGAAUUAUUGUAUACGUUUUUGGUCACUCGUUAUGGUCCGCGAAAACCAAUUACUAACAGAAGAGGUUAAACUUGACUAACAAUUAUUCCCAUGAACACCGGGAGAAUGUAGAUGUCGUAAUGUCAAGGUCCAACGUUUCGAUUCCACGUCGCGCGGAAAUCACAGCCACCCGGAUACGUUUUAACAAAGACAAGAUAUCUGUACCAUCUGAUUACACUGAAUUACCUGGAUACACGCCUCGCUAUCAGUUACGUCAAUAGCUCGAACCUUUUUCAGAUAAGAACGCAAACGAUACGUACACAGCUUGGCUUCCAAUACGCUAAUCCCUCUUUGCAAAUCAUUCGCAUUUCUAAUCGGUCAGAUCGGUCCGAGGAACGACUUGGCAAGGGAAAAAAAGAAAAGAAGCAACAGAAAAAAACACGACGAAAAAGAGAGAACGAUACGACUUUUGGUCCCGACUCACAUGACGGCGAUAUACAUGGAUCGUACCCUGCUCUCUAGAGAGAUGUUACCUCGAGAACGAUCCAGGCGUGACUGGCGGUGAGCUCACGCUAACCUCGCGACGCAACUGGUGCAGGUUUACGCACAAACUGGGGAGGUAGACACGAGGUCCCCGACCCGCUUACGGGGAAAACUGUUACAGGAAGGCCCAGAUAUAUCGCACAGCCUUGCACGGAAAUCUCCCAAAGGGCCAAGGCGACUGAAAAUACACGCGCAAACACACCAAAGGAACAGAGAGAAUUCCCGAAGGAAACUGCGGCAAAAUCGAAUUCCUAGCGUGGUCGACCUGAUUCUGCGACUGAGUCCGAUGUGUCAGAAGCCAGGGAACGCGAAAUCUCGCGGUUAACCUGGAUUUGCCCGCGUAUCCAUGCCAAGCUGGGAUCCUGGACUAACCCAGACCCAGUCCGAGAAACAAACAACAUGAGAAAACCGGUUGAAACUCAUCCAGAUCAGAUAGAUGCAUAUAUUUAGAAAGAAUAUACUGAUUAAAUCGCUAGCUUUUACUAAUGCAAUCAUUCCUGCCACAUUUCCAGCCGAUUUAUUCCAUAACUGAACUUAACUCUCACGAAAGUGAAAAAGCUUUUGCACAAUUCUUGAUAGGCAGGAAAUCAAGAAGUUUAAUAUGGUUUAAUGCAUUUGAAUAAGAUCUUACUUCUCAGGUUCCUAUAUCUCAAAUGAUAUGAUUGAUUUUCUAUAUUUUAGAAACUAAUUUUAAGACACAUGCGAAAACUAACUCUAAGUGAUUGAACAACUUAGUGAUUGUUCCUUACCGCAAAGAAUUUCAAACAAAACCGUGUCAAUGACAUGACCAAACUAUACAUAGACCACAUCUUAUUAUAUGCGGCCUUGGCGAGAGUAUAAAAUUGAAAUGUUCCCUCUAAUGAUUUCGAAGAACAAAAAAAGAUGAAGGUGGAAAUUAUCUGAAGAUAGAAUUGAGACAGCAACGCGAGUUUGUCAGUGAAUCGAACGAAUUCACGGUAGAAUAAUGCCGUGGCUGGGAUAAUAAUACUAUAUCCAGGCCUCGCGUAUGCGAAAGGAAUUAGGUCAAUGCGAAAGGAACAUCCAGGAUGAAUCUCUCACAACCGUGAGAGAAACGCGUACCAUUUCACUAGAAAACUGUAUCUGCGUUCGAAAACAA